GGUUGCGUGUAAUUACCAACAGCCAUGGCCAGGGUGGGCUCCGGGAGCUAGUGGUCUUCAGCGCGGCUCGUCACAUUGCACUUCACAUUGCACUGACCAUAGCCGGCAGCUUAUGUAGAGCGAGAGAGAGCGCCAGGGAGUUGUUUCUGGUGAAGAGCAUUAGCAGCGGCGGCCGUGCACCGCUCCUCCCUUUCCAGUCCUACUUGCAUAAACUACUAGCGCCCGGAGGAAGAGGACGCCACCCCUUGGUGUCAGCGUUGCAAAGAGGUGAUCACAUCUGUCGGAUGCAGAUGUGCAGGGCAGUGAGCCGCUGACUGAGACUUGCACCGGGCAGAGUGUGGAAGACGUCGCUGUACCUGGCAGUCAACAGUUUAUGACAGUUAGCAAGAAUCCUGGGGCUACGACAUGUAUUGAAGCUGAAUGAGGUUUGCUCCACAUCACCUACAGUCAGAUCUAUGGAAGAAAGCAUGUGAGAAAAGGUAAAGAUUGAAAACUGG